rnacentral:other from 1 species
GUUUCCCUGCGGUGUUUGCCAAGGUCGUGAUGCCUUUGAACCAAUGUCUUCGUGACACGGUUGCCGACCAUUGACGCCGCUGUUGUGAGCGUUCCUCGUUGAACGCACCUGAUGCGGCAGGAACGCGACCCACCUGAACCCAGGUUCAGGACUAUCGGCCUAGCGGCACAUGCGGGGAAUCU